CCGGAGUGGCGGAACGGUAGACGCAGCGGACUCAAAAUCCGCCGCCCUUAAAAGCGUGUGGGUUCGAGACCUGCGCUGAA
rnacentral:tRNA from 2 species